UGAGGAAUAUUGGUCAAUGGACGCAAGUCUGAACCAGCCAAGUAGCGUGCAGGAUGACGGCCCUAUGGGUUGUAAACUGCUUUUAUAUGGGGAUAAAGUGGGGAACGUGUUCCCUUUUGCAGGUACCAUAUGAAUAAGGACCGGCUAAUUCCGUGCCAGCAGCCGCGGUAAUACGGAAGGUUCGGGCGUUAUCCGGAUUUAUUGGGUUUAAAGGGAGCGUAGGCCGUUUGGUAAGCGUGUUGUGAAAUGUAGGAGCUCAACUUCUAGAUUGCAGCGCGAACUGUCAGACUUGAGUGCGCACAACGUAGGCGGAAUUCAUGGUGUAGCGAUGAAAUGCUUAGAUAUCAUGAAGAACUCCGAUUGGGAAGGCAGCUUACGGGAGCGCAACUGACGCUGAAGCUCGAAGGUGCGGGUAUCGAACAGG
rnacentral:rRNA from 1 species